UUUCCGUAGGUGAACCUGCGGAAGGAUCAUUAAAGUUAUAGUCCCCCGGCCCUCUGGGCUGGGGUCUUCUAUACCACCCUUUGUUUAUUACACCUUUGUUGCUUUGGCAGGCCUGCCCUCGGGCUGCUGGCUCCGGCCGCUCGUGUCUGCCAGAGGACCUAAACUCUGUUUGUAUAUGAAGUCUGAGUACUAUAUAAUAGUUAAAACUUUCAACAACGGAUCUCUUGGUUCUG
rnacentral:misc_RNA from 1 species